ACAAUAGCAACCAACUAUAUGUAGAUGAUCUGGCUUUUUAUUUUGUGAAGCUACAAGAGAUUAUCUUAUAAAGUUCAUUCUGCAUCUUAAAGUGUUUAGUGGUUUCUAACAUUGGUCAUUCAACUCUUGGUUUAUUUUUUAUUUUUUGUUGAGUUACCUAGAUCAUGGUCCAUCAAAAAAAGGGGAAAGGACACCCUUUGGUGGCCUAAAGUUUAUUCUAUUUAAUCUUGUUAUUUCUGCAGUCCAUAUAAUAUGCUUUAUGCUUGUCACUAGUAUAUUUUGAUACAAUUCAUGCUUGGGAGUUUAUAUCCUGUUUCAGUUCAGAAUUCAAAUGUUAUUUUGGAUUUGUGGUUCAUAUCAAAAUUUGAUUUUGAUGAGAUGGUUAACAAAAUAUCAAAUUUCAGAAAGUAUAAUCGUUGAAAUUUUUGAAAAUGGGAAGUAUGAAGAUUGCCAAUCAAAUAAAAAAAGGGUCAUAUGUUUGAGGUGUAUUUAUUCUGGAUAGCUAUAUUCUUGACAGUAUUCAUGAUUGUUAGAUAUACAAUAUUUGAUUUUUUUUAUUGGAUAUAAGGUAGAGCAAUGAUAUUCACACUCCACUUGUGAGAGGCCAAAAGACAAAAAAUAGAGUGAAAAGUUUAAAAGAGAAUGGGAAUAUCAUUUCUAUUAAUGCUUUACUGAACAGGAUGAACAUGGUUGGUUUUUAUUGUAUUGCAUACUCACUCAUACUUUGUUCCAAUGUCUAUUUUUCUUUUAGCUUGAGAUCUUCUGUAAUUUGGCGAUUUGGAGAAGAAAAAAAUGUUUGUGACUGUUAGGUAAAUAACCAAACAUGUGGUUGGACUUGGCCUUGGGGAGGUAAUAGUGACUGCAGUGUGACUGAUUUCUUUUUCUUUUUUAAAUUCAUCUAUAGUGGCCUCAA